rnacentral:rRNA from 1 species
UACGAAGGGGGCUAGCGUUGCUCGGAAUGACUGGGCGUAAAGGGCUCGUAGGCGGCCAACUAAGUCGGACGUGAAAUCCCUCGGCUUAACCGGGGAACUGGCGCCGAAACGACCCGUCUGGAGGGACGUAGGGGGACCUGGAACUUCCGGUGGAGCGGUGAAAUGCGUUGAGAUCGGAAGGAACGCCCGUGGCGAAAGCGAGGUCCUGGACGUCUACUGACGCUGAGACGCGAAAGCUAGGGUAGCGAACGGG